rnacentral:rRNA from 1 species
UACGUAGGGUGCAAGCGUUGUCCGGAAUUAUUGGGCGUAAAGAGCUCGUAGGCGGUCUGUCACGUCGGCUGUGAAAACCUGGGGCUCAACUCCGGGCCUGCAGCCGAUACGGGCAGACUAGAGUUCGGCAGGGGAGACUGGAAUUCCUGGUGUAGCGGUGAAAUGCGCAGAUAUCAGGAGGAACACCGGUGGCGAAGGCGGGUCUCUGGGCAGUAACUGACGCUGAGGAGCGAAAGCGUGGGGAGCGAACAGG